rnacentral:rRNA from 1 species
GAUGAACGCUGGCGGCGUGCCUAAUACAUGCAAGUCGAGCGAAUGGAUUAAGAGCUUGCUCUUAUGAAGUUAGCGGCGGACGGGUGAGUAACACGUGGGUAACCUGCCCAUAAGACUGGGAUAACUCCGGGAAACCGGGGCUAAUACCGGAUCAAAUUUUGGACCGCACGGUUCGAAAUUGAAAGGCGGCUUCGGCUGUCACCUAUGGAUGGACCCCAGUCGCAUUAGCUAGUUGGGGAGGUAACGGCUCACCAAGGCAACGAUGCGUAACCGACCUGAGAGGGUGAUCGGCCACACUGGGACUGAGACACGGCCCAGACUCCUACGGGAGGCAGCAGUAGGGAAUCUUCCGCAAUGGACGAAAGUCUGACGGAGCAACGCCGCGUGAGUGAUGAAGGCUUUCGGGUCGUAAAACUCUGUUGUUAGGGAAGAACAAGAGCUAGUUGAAUAAGCUGGCACCUUGACGGUACCUAACCAGAAAGCCACGGCUAACUACGUGCCAGCCGCCGCAGUAA